CCAUUGUUUAGGACAACUUAUCUUGCUUCUUCUUUAUGAAGUACUAACCCCCCACAAAUAGAGUCUAGGAUUUAACAUUAGAAUAUAUUAAAGUUUGUGAGGCACCUCCUGUUUGAACCCGAUUACAAUAUAUAUAACAACUUACGUAUAAGCCCGCACACACACACAUGCACGUGCACGCUCACACACGCACACACAUAUGUUUAUAUUACAAUAUAUAUAACAAACUUACGUAUAUGCCCAC
rnacentral:lncRNA from 1 species